UACAGAGGUGGCAAGCGUUGUUCGGAAUUACUGGGCGUAAAGGGCGCGUAGGCGGCCUCCUAAGUCAGACGUGAAAGCCCCAGGCUUAACCUGGGAACUGCGUCUGAUACUGGGAGGCUUGGAUUCGGGAGAGGGAUGUGGAAUUCCAGGUGUAGCGGUGAAAUGCGUAGAUAUCUGGAGGAACACCGGUGGCGAAGGCGGCGCACUGGACCACAUCUGACGCUGAGGCGCGAAAGCUAGGGGAGCAAACAGG
rnacentral:rRNA from 1 species